rnacentral:miRNA from 7 species
UAGUAAGCAGAGAUUUGCUAAGAAAAAACAGUGCUUGACUACUGUGGUAGCCUUUGUAG